CCGGGAAGUUAAUAGGAUUGUAUUGCACGUUAUUAUCUGAAUUAAGUGAAACGGUUUCGCUUGUGCUUGUGUACUCUGCUUGUGUGCAUGCGGAUCUGGACGACUGCUCCAGCAGGCUCCCCCUCUCCACGCAGCUGAUGGAUCCAAAGGAACAGCAAAGACCGAUAUGGUUUCGCACCAGCGGCGUCACAGGAGUUGUAGAGCGAGGUCGCAAGUGACAAGGAACUACCUUCGGGACUCCGGCACCGGAUUUUUCCUCAGUGAUUGGCAUAUGUUAAGCACGUGAUCUAUGCCCAUCUUUAGACCACUGUAGGAG